GGCAGCGUAGCUCAGUCGGCAGAGCAGGGGACUCAUAAGCCCUUGGUCGCAGGUUCAAAUCCCGCCGCUGCCACCA
rnacentral:tRNA from 1 species